UACGGAGGGUACGAGCGUUGUCCGGAAUCACUGGGCGUAAAGGGCGCGUAGGCGGCGCGGGGAGUCAACGGUGAAAGCCCCGGGCUCAACCUGGGAAUGGCCGUUGAAACUGGCGAACUGGAGUGUGGCAGAGGGGGGUGGAAUUCCGCGUGUAGCAGUGAAAUGCGUAGAGAUGCGGAGGAACACCGAUGGCGAAGGCAGCCCCCUGGGCUGACACUGACGCUCAGGCACGAAAGCGUGGGGAGCAAACAGG
rnacentral:rRNA from 1 species